GGUGCUCGAGUGGCGAACGGGUGAGUAACACGUGAGUAACCUGCCCUUGACUUUGGGAUAACUUCAGGAAACUGGGGCUAAUACCGGAUAGGAGCUCCUGCUGCAUGGCGGGGGUUGGAAAGUUUCGGCGGUUGGGGAUGGACUCGCGGCUUAUCAGCUUGUUGGUGGGGUAGUGGCUUACCAAGGCUUUGACGGGUAGCCGGCCUGAGAGGGUGACCGGCCACAUUGGGACUGAGAUACGGCCCAG
rnacentral:rRNA from 1 species